CCUACGGGAGGCAGCAGUGGGGAAUAUUGGACAAUGGGGGCAACCCUGAUCCAGCCAUGCCGCGUGUGUGAAGAAGGCCCUCGGGUUGUAAAGCACUUUCAGUGAGGAAGAACGCCUGGUGGUUAAUACCCAUCAGGAAAGACAUCACUCACAGAAGAAGCACCGGCUAACUCCGUGCCAGCAGCCGCGGUAAUACGGAGGGUGCGAGCGUUAAUCGGAAUUACUGGGCGUAAAGCGCGCGUAGGUGGCUUGAUAAGCCGGUUGUGAAAGCCCCGGGCUCAACCUGGGAACGGCAUCCGGAACUGUCAAGUUAGAGUGCAGGAGAGGAAGGUAGAAUUCCCGGUGUAGCGGUGAAAUGCGUAGAGAUCGGGAGGAAUACCAGUGGCGAAGGCGGCCUUCUGGACUGACACUGACACUGAGGUGCGAAAGCGUGGGUAGCAAACAGGAUUAGAUACCCUUGUAGUA
rnacentral:rRNA from 1 species